GCCAGCAUGUCAUAGUGGUUUGCGUGUUGGACUGUGACUCUGUAGACCAGGGUUUGAUUCCCUGAUUGGCC